AACACCUAACCAAAGAGCUCUGCAGCCUGUAUUUGCUUUUUAAACAUUUGUUUGUUCAGGCUGCACAAACCCAGAAUAAAAUACCGAAGGAGAGCUCGAGCUGUUUGGAUGACAUUUACAGACCUGUACGGCUAAAGGGGAGGACACAUUACCAUUCUCUAAGGGCUAACACGGCAUGUCAGGGGACCACACAAUAUGCCAGACAAACAAACUGCAGCUUUAACAUUCUUCUGCAGCACACAAUACUGCAAUCAGCAUAGGGGCAAUUUUCCGUUUUUUAUUAUUUAUUUCUAUAAAUAGAUUCAAGUGGGAAAAAAAAUGGACAUGGAAGAAAAGCAAUCAAUGUUUUUGACAGUUCCUUUCUAUUUCAUUGUUUCUUUUUGGUCAGCCUGCAGUGUAUUAUGGAUGGCUACUUUCAGUUUUUUUUUUGUUUUUU